rnacentral:misc_RNA from 1 species
GAUGAAGAACGUAGCGAAAUGCGAUAAGUAAUGUGAAUUGCAGAAUUCAGUGAAUCAUCGAAUCUUUGAACGCACAUUGCACUCAUUAGUAUUCUAGUGAGUAUGCCUGUUCGAGCGUCAUUUCAACCCUUAAGCCUAGCUUAGUGUUGGGACUCUACCCUAACCGGUAGUUCCCCAAAAUCAGUUGGCGGAGUUCAGUCGGCUCUGAGUGUAGUAAUUUUCUCUCGCUUUAGAAGUCUUCUGGAUUACGGCAAGAAAGAGACGAGUCUCGCAUCUCGGUGCGUUUCUCAACUUUUUUUUACAAUGGUUGACCUCGGAUCAGGUAGGAAUACCCGCUGAACUUAAGCAUAUCAAUAAGCGGAGGA